rnacentral:rRNA from 1 species
AAUCUUUCGAAAUGGGCGAAAGCCUGACGCAGCCAUGCCGCGUGAAUGAUGAAGGUCUUAGGCAUGUAAUAUUCUUUCACCGGGGACGAUAAUGACGGUCCCUGGAGAAGAAGCCCCGGCUAACUUCGUGCCAGCAGCCGCGGUAAUACGAAGGGGGCUAGCCUUGCACGGAAUUACUGGGCGUAAAGGGCGCGUAGGCGGAUCGUUAAGUCAGAGGUGAAAUCCCAGGGCUCAACCCUGGAACUGCCUUUGAUACUGGCGAUCUUGAGUAUGAGAGAGGUAUGUGGAACUCCGAGUGUAGAGGUGAAAUUCGUAGAUAUUCGGAAGAACACCAGUGGUGAAGGCGACAUACUGGCUCAUUACUGACGCUGAGGCGCGAAAGCGUGGGGAGCAAACA